CAUGAAGAGAUGCAACUCUUCUUACUAGUAUAUAUAUGAAAUGAUACAACUAUUAGCCAAAAGGCACUAUGACUUUAUAAAUAGUUAAGCUUUUGUUUCAUUAGAUACAUAAGAAUAUUAACAAGAAAAUUACAUACAAAAGUAUAAAGUGUGUGUACUGAGUGGUGGUGCAUUGAUUUUUCCUUGUCAUUUUUAAAAGACUCUCGCUUGAUUUAUUUGUGGAGCAUUGAUUAUUCUGCGAAUAAGGUACACAUAAAUUGCAAGCUGAAGUUGAAAAAUCAGUGGAUUUAGGGAGAUAUCAGAGGUUGGUUGACAUAUUAAUUUAUCUUUUGCACAUUAGACCAAACGUAGUAUAUGCAUGAUCCUCGUGAAUCUCAUUUGGAGGCUAUUUUCCACAUUUUGCGGUACUUAAAAUCUACACUUGGGAAAUGACUUCUUUUCUCAAAACAUGAUCACCUUCAGAUUAAAGCCUUUAC
rnacentral:misc_RNA from 1 species